rnacentral:lncRNA from 1 species
AGGCAACAACAUCAUACUAAUGUUACUUAGAUCGAGCGGCGAAAACAAUGUUAAUAGAGCCGCUGCGUCUAAGGGCAAUGAGUGGUAUAUAGACAAAACCACGCAUCGCCGAAAACCCCUCCACCGUCGAUUCCUUUUCAGGUCUCUUAUAAGUGUUAGGACCCGAUGUAAACAUAGGCUUAAACCGGAAUCCAAGCGAAAGCGGGAUUCGGGCGUAAGCCGGAGCAUACCUAGACAAAAGACCAGAUGCAUGUGACUCAGGCCACUCCUGAUA